CACAAGGUGUACUACCAGAGUUGCUAGGCGCGCCUAGGGGACAGCCCUAAGCCCCUCUCCCUCCAAGCCUCUACAGCCCCGAUCUUUCCAGCUCUGCAGCCAAACGUGUGGCUGUUUCCUGCUGCCUGCGGACCCGAGGCUGGGUGAGGGGGCCGGGGCCGCCACAUGGCGCGCUUGAGGAGAUGGCAGCUGCGCUUUGUUUCCAGCAGCUAGGGUGAGUCACCGGCCCCCGCAGUCCCAAAGCCAGGCAAACGCUCAGGCUCAGGCAGUUGAAAAAUUUGCAGCAGGAGCGGCUACCCAAGCGGCCGCAGCCUCUUCCUCCUCCUUCUUCUCCUCCGCCGCCGCUGCCACUGCCACCGCCGCGGCCGCCGCCUCCACCCUGCCUCCUCCCAGCCUCCGCCCCGUCCCCUCCUCCUCCGCCCUCGAACUUAGUCAGCGGUUCGCGCCUCCGCGCGCCUAUUGGCCGGCGGAACGCGACGCGUCACAAUGGAGCCGGUCGGAGGCGGCGAGCCCGGCAGCGCCGGGGCUUCCCGCUGAGUCCGCAGCCCCGGGCAGCCGGGAAAGUGCGGGCGCAGGCCGCCGCCGGCGCGCCUGGAGAGGCGCGGGGCGCGGGGCGCACGCUGCGGAGAGCGCCGGCGCCCGGGGCUGGAGUCGCGCAGACUCUGCCAGUGAUUCUCCAGGGAGUUUCCAGAAGCAUUCAGUCUUGGACUGGGCAUGGAAAUGUUGAUUGUCCUUGGGACCCACCCUCACUACCCACUUUUGCCUCCUGGCCUAUAACUGGAUCCACAUCUAAGAAGAACCCUAGAGGAAUUCCUCAAAUUGAAACUAAUUGCAGAGUUUCUGGUUGACCAGCAUUCAUAGGAAAAUGAACCCUGUUUUCAGUGGGGUCUUCCUGGAUUAAAUAGGACAUAUAAUUCUGCUCUUGGGACAGGUAGGUCACCUGUGGAAGUCUGAAGAGAAGAAAUGGAAUGCUAUGGUGUGGUUUACCAGAGACUGCAGGGUGUCUAGGUUUGGCCCUACUUUAUUUUAGGGCCUGCUUACUUGAGUGGGGUGUUGGAAAGUAUUUUUAAAAACCAUGAAAGUUGGAGAAUUUGAUGUUGGCUUCUGUUUAUACAUUCUAAGAAUAUUUACUUAUUUUAGUUGUCAAUGGACCUUUAUUUUACUUAUUUAUGUGUGGUGCUGAGAAUCUCGAACCCUGUGCCUCACACAUGUUAGGCAAGCACUCUACCACUGAGCCACAACUCCAGCCUCAAUACCUUCUAAGAAUUAUCCAGCUACUGGAAGCUAUGUUCUGGUAUAAAUAUUUCAAUAUGUAACUGUUACUUUCUUCAUUUUAAAUGUAACUUAGAUAAUAAUGUAGGCCACUGAAAGCAUCAAAGAACUGAGGUCUUUUCCUAAAAAGAAAAUUUUCACCUAAAUUGGAUAUAUGAUGUAUUCUGUUAUCACCAGAAACCAAGAAAAGUGAAAUGGCGUUCCUUAAAGUUCAGAAGAACUCAGAUUCCACUAGGAUUUCUAGAGUUGUUCCUAUGGUCUUAAUUCAUUCUGUAACAUAACUUAUUUAUUUUUUUUCUGCAGUUUAUUAUCAAUAACUUUCUCCUGGGGCUUCAGAGAGUUUCAUACUCUUUAGAAUAUUGGGUAUGGUUGUUUCACAGACCCAUUACUACUUUACAGUUUGGGGUAGGAAAUUGCUAAAUAGUAGUGACACAUUUCUAUUUUUUUGCCUUCCCUCUAUAAUUUGACUAUAAUGUCAGUUUCUUUCCAUAAAACUCAGAUUUGUGUGCCCCAGAUAUAUUUGCUUUUCCUUUACCUCACUAAUUCUGCUUCUCUAUCCUUUUUACUCUUCUUCAUCUGAUGAUCCUUCCUCAUAUGGACAGAGAUUUGGUUUUCACUCAUUAAAUUAUUUUCCUCAAAGACUCCUUUACUGAGGAUCCAUUGGCUACUUAAAUGUUUAUGGCAUCCUAUGAUGAAUUAAAAGUGAUUGUAAACACUUAGCAACUCCUCCCAUCUGUUUCCCUGCCUUUGACUCUCUACUGGCUCUGUUAUAUUUUUGGAUCAACAGGAUGUGGCAGAAAUGGGGGUGUAGUAAUUUCUAAGACUGGGCCUUAAGAGACUUGCAAAUUCUGAAUUUGUAUGCAUAGAACAUUCCCUCUCAAAACAUCCCCUUUGCUGUGAGGAAGCCUAAAGAAUCAAUGUGGAGACUGCCAAGGGCCCAGUCAAUAGCACAAGUUGAGCCCCGCAACAAGCAGGCAGCCCAGGUACCAGUGUGGCAUAGAGGCAUGUUGGACCUUCUAGCCACCCCAGCAUCCCAAUGAAUACCAAGCGAAAUGAGACUGCCUCAUCAUCCUACAGUAUUAUCAGAUACAGCGAAUCAUUAUUUUAAUCACUAAGUUUUGGUAUGGCUUGUUACACAAAAUAAAUAAGCAAAACCAAAAAUUGGUACCUAGAAGUGAGGUACUACCAUAACAAAACAUCUGGCAUUGGCUUUGGGAAAAGGAAGCGGUGGAGGUCUGAAGGGGGUAGUAAAAUUAGUAUUAAUGGUGUAUAAAGGUCAGUGAGGAAAUUGUUAUUGGAGGAUAUAAAAUAGCACUCAUAUGUUUUAUUGGCAGAAAAAUAGGCUAAACCAUCACCUGCAAAUCACAUAGAACACAGAAAAUGAACCUAACAACCUUGUGGAUCUAGGGUAGGAGAUUUUUUCAGCAGAAUAUUGAAAGCACCAACUAAUAACUUCAUUUUUUUAACCACCUAUGAUCAAAGUUUUACAAGAAAGAGAUGCAUUAAAGAACAAACUGUCCAGAUUGUAAGCAGACUUUAGAGGAAAUAUUUCCAAUCCAGAAUUGUCUAGGUAUGGAAAUAAAACUGUUUCUUAUUCCUAGCAACCUUCUCUACUCAACAAAAGAUAGUCAAAGAAGGAAAAUGGUCUCAGGUCCAAAGAUCAGAUCCAGAGCACUAUUACCAGCAAAACUUGGUCUCAAGGUGAAAAUAAAAGCAAGGGCACAGCUAUAAAACCCUAAAUGAUAACCUCCUAGAUAUCUCUGCUGCAUGGAGCGCCUUCUGAAAAUCUUAAGGAUGCUGCCCUGAUUUAUAAGACACAAGCCUGGCCUUUAAGCCUGAAUUUGAUGUGAUGGUGUGUGAAUGUUGGGGGAGAGGGCUAGUGUGCUUUCUGUGGAGAAGAUAUGUAAGUUAUUUAGGGAAGAUUUAUGGAAUUAUUUAUGGACAGUAGUGUAUUAAACACAGCUGCAGAUUCUUCAUCAUCUCACUCUGAGAGGUGUUCUCUGCGUCCCAUUCCCUUGAAUAUGAGCUGUCCUUAUAUCUCCCUUAUCCAAUAGAUUUUCUUGGACACAGCACUGUGUAACUUCAAAUGCUAUGCCCUAAAUGGUCCACAGCUUUAAUUUUUGUUCUUAUAACACAGUCUUAGAACCCAGCCACCAUGUUCAUUGAGGACACUCAAAGCACCCCACUGACUCUCAUAUGAAGAAGUUAUGAGCCAGCAGUAUAAUGAACAAAUGAGGUCAUUUUGGACCUUCCAGCCGUCUUCGUGCUGGCCAACACCAUGAAGUACAAGAAUCCCCAACAAAAUCUCAAGAAAUAAAACCUUAAUGUUUUUUAAAGCCAUUAAAUUGCGGAAUAUGCUGAACAGUUAAUCAAAAGU